rnacentral:rRNA from 1 species
AUUGAACGCUGGCGGCAGGCCUAACACAUGCAAGUCGAGCGAGCGGCGGACGGGUGAGUAAUGUAUGGGGAUCUGCCCGAUAGCGGGGGAUAACUACUUGAAACGGUGGCUAAUCCCGCAUACUAUCGGCUGACCCCAUAUUGGAUUGGCGAGUCGGUGGGGUAAAGGCUCACCUAGGCGACGAUCUCUAGCUGGUCUGAGAGGAUGAUCAGCCACACUGGGACUGAGACACGGCCCAGACUCCUACGGGAGGCAGCAGUGGGGAAGAUUGCACAAUGGGCGCAAGCCUGAUGCAGCCAUGCCGCGUGUAUGAAGAAGGCCUUAGGGUUGUAAAGUACUUUCAGCGGGGAGGCGUUACCCGAAGAAGAAGCACCGGCUAACUCCGUGCCAGCAGCCGCGGUAAUUC